rnacentral:rRNA from 1 species
AGUAACGCGUGAGGAACCUGCCUCAAAGAGGGGGACAACAGUUGGAAACGACUGCCAAUACCGCAUAAGCCCACGGCUCAGCAUCGAGCAGAGGGAAAAGGAGUGAUCCGCUUUGAGAUGGCCUCGCGUCCGAUUAGCUAGUUGGUGAGGUAACGGCCCACCAAGGCAACGAUCGGUAGCCGGACUGAGAGGUUGAACGGCCACAUUGGGACUGAGACACGGCCCAG